GAUGAACGCUGGCGGCGUGCCUAAUACAUGCAAGUCGAGCGAACAGAUGAGGAGCUUGCUCCUCUGGCGUUAGCGGCGGACGCGUGAGUAACACGUGGAUAACCUACCUAUAAGACUGGGAUAACUUCGGGAAACCGGAGCUAAUACCGGAUAAUAUAUUGAACCGCAUGGCUCAAUAGUGAAAGACGGUUUUGCUGUCACUUAUAGAUGGAUCCGCGCCGCAUUAGCUAGUUGGUAAGGUAACGGCUUACCAAGGCAACGAUGCGUAGCCGACCUGAGAGGGUGAUCGGCCACACUGGAACUGAGACACGGUCCAGACUCCUACGGGAGGCAGCAGUAGGGAAUCUUCCGCAAUGGGCGAAAGCCUGACGGAGCAACGCCGCGUGAGUGAUGAAGGUCUUCGGAUCGUAAAACUCUGUUAUUAGGGAAGAACAAAUGUGUAAGUAACUAUGCACGUCUUGACGGUACCUAAUCAGAAAGCCACGGCUAACUACGUG
rnacentral:rRNA from 1 species